CAAUAGCGUAUAUUAAAGUUGUUGCAGUUAAAAAGCUCGUAGUUGGAUUUGUGGCGUACGGUGUGUUCCGGGCACUUGUUGUCUGAGUAACCUGCUGUUGCCAUCCUUGGGUGGAACCUGUGUGGCAUUAGGUUGUCGUGCAGGGGAUGCCCAUCAUUUACUGUGAAAAAAUUAGAGUGUUCAAAGCAGGCUUAUGCCGUUGAAUAUAUUAGCAUGGAAUAAUGAGAUAGGACCUCGGUACUAUUUUGUUGGUUUGCGCACCGGGGUAAUGAUUAACAGGGACAGUUGGGGGUAUUCGUAUUCCAUUGUCAGAGGUGAAAUUCUUGGAUUUCUGGAAGACGAACUACUGCGAAAGCAUUUACCAAGGAUGUUUUCAUUAA
rnacentral:rRNA from 1 species